GUCUGUUUGGGCAAACUUGUGCUGGUUAAAGUCUUUAUCUUUAGAUGGAACUAACAAAAUGGUGCCACAACAGUUGACAUGGGGAAGUAGAGCAAUAUUUCCUGUCACAGCUUUCUACAGUAAACGGUCAAAAUUUCCCAAUAACGCACAACAAAUUCGCUAGAGACCACUGGAAGACUGACUGGAAUAAUUCAUCCCAGACUUCAAAUGCACGGCGGUGAAUUUUUCUCUCGCUAGAGACUGUGAAAGCACAUUUAAAGCAAUAGCAGCCUUGAAGAUGUGCAACUGCUAAAUUUGCAUAAAAAAAGCCCCAAUAAAUACUUGCAGUCAGUAUGUUUACCUAUAAUCAUGGAGUACACACAAUAAAUGGGUGUUAAACAAGCAGAAGGGCUCAUGUUACCCAAGAUUCAAUAUCACUCACAUUAUCUGAGCUAAACAAGUCUGGAACGGCACUGGCAUUAAGAAUUGGCAUAAAAUGAGUCCAUUUCGACAUGUAUUGGCAUAAAAUGUGAUGCGUGAGGCCAUUUCAACAUUCAUUAGUUACUAGUACAGUCAUUAGCGCACAUUCCUUUGCUAACUAUUGAUAACUAAUUAGGAAAUGCUAUCUGUAACAAAUUACCAUUUCAUUCUGUGUGGUUCAGAAAUCCACUGUUCACUCAACCAGUUGCUGAUGCAUAUUCCACUUUCACUAUUAAUGAUGACAAGCACAAAAGCAAUUGUUAGUGACAUGGGAAAAGAUAUCAGUUGGGUUAAUGCAAUUGAUGUCUCAUAAACAAGUAUUAGUUAAACUGGAAUAACUAUUGGAAAUAAUUGGAUUAGAAGCAACAACUGGAGUGAACAGUUGACCUGUGAACCGCAGAUCCCUGAAAGGAUACAGCCGAUUGCUUAACUAGUCAUUUUAAACACGCAGAUGCUAGUUAGUUUGAAAGGAAAGGAAAGGGGAAAAUGUAAAGGAACACACGUGACUUCAUCUUGACUGAUGUACAUCAUGAAAUCACAAAACGCUUGAAAAGAACACAUGAUCUCAUCUGGAGGAAACAGCAACGACAUGUUCACGCUGCUUGGACUCUUAUUCUGACGGCACCCAUUCACUGCAGAGGAUCCAUUGGUGAGCAAGUGAUGUACUGUAAAUUUCUCCAAAUCCGUCUCAAUGAAGAAUUGAACUCAUGUGCAUCUUGGAUGGCCUGAGGCACUGAAUCCAGUCCAGAGCGUAUGACACAUGAAAGCCUGCUUGUUAUUUGACCACCCUGAGCAGUUUAAGCCCACCUCCUCACAUUGUGCUCUCAUACACAUGACAUGCACAUUUCACCAAGUAUCUUUCAAGCAGG